ACGGAGGGUCCAAGCGUUAUCCGGAUUUAUUGGGCUUAAAGCGUGCGUAGGCGGUUUUAUAAGUCUGAGGUUAAAGUUUGCGGCUCAACCCGGGGAUGGCUUGGAAACUGUAAGACCUGAGUACAGUAGAGGUAAGCGGAAUUCCCAGUGUAGCGGUGAAAUGCUUAGAGAUGGGGAAGAACACCAAUGGCGAAGGCGGCUUACUGGGCUAUAACUGACGCUGAGGCGCGAAAGCUAGGGGAUCAAACGG
rnacentral:rRNA from 1 species